AUUGAACGCUGGCGGCAGGCCUAACACAUGCAAGUCGAGCGAGAGGCGGACUGGGGAGUAAUGGCUGGGAAACUGCCUGAGGGAGGGGGCUAACUCCUGGAAAUGGUAGCUAAUACCGCAUAAUAUAGGAUGUGCCCAGAUGGGAUUAGCUAGUAUGUGGGGUAAAGGCUCACCUAGGCGACGAUCCCUAGCUGGUCUGAGAGGAUGACCAGCCACACUGGAACGGAGACACGGUCCAGACUCCUACGGGAGGAAGCAGUGGGGAAUCUUGCCCAAUGGACGCAAGCCGGAUGCAGCCAUGCCGCGUGUAUGAAGAAGGCCUUCGGGUUGUAAAGUACUUUAAGCGGGGAGGCGUUACCCGCAGAAGAAGCCCCGGCUAACUCCGUGCCAGCAGCCGCGGUAAUUC
rnacentral:rRNA from 1 species